rfam:Escherichia hermannii NBRC 105704 DNA, contig: EH10570407.
GAAAGCACGACAUUGCUCACAUUGCUUCCAGUAUUUCUUAGCCAGCCUCGUGCUGGCUUUUUUUU